rnacentral:rRNA from 1 species
CAUGCCGCGUGAGUGAAGAAGGCCUUCGGGUUGUAAAGCUCUUUCGGACGGAAAGAAAUCGCCUGGGCGAAUACCCUGGGUGGAUGACGGUACCGUAAGAAGAAGCACCGGCUAACUACGUGCCAGCAACUUCGGUGACUGAGCGGGCUGGCAAGGCGCAUA